UCCUCUCUAAAGCAACCUCACUCCAGCCUCCACCUUAUAGAGACAACCUUCUGAAGCCUAUACAGCACUUGUCAGAAACUUCAUGAGCCAGACAAAAUGGAUCAUAUUGCGAAGAUGAUAGCUCUUUUAACUCUCCAUGUAACAGGUUGUCUGGGGGCCGUCACAGUUGAGCAGACACCUCGGACUCAAUUUGUGGAGACAGGGGGCACAGUGAAGAUUCUCUGCCAAUCCUCAACCAACAUUGCCAAUAACAUGAACCUUUACCAGCUUAAACCAGGCCAGCCACCUAAACUGCUAAUCUACUAUAGUGGCAGCCGUCACUCAGGCACUCCAAGUCGUUUCAGUGGAUCACAGUCAGGAGUUGACCACACCUUCACCAUCAGUGGAGUCCAGCUGGAGGAUGAGGCUGAGUACCACUGUGGACAUAGUUAUACCACUCCGAUCACACAGUGAAAUAUCGCCGUAUAGCCUUCAUUCAGGCACUCCAAGUCGUUUCAGUGGCUUGUACUCAGGAGUUGACCACCAUCAGUGGAGUCCAGAUGGAGGAUGAGACUGAGUAUCGCUGUGGAAAUUGUUAUACCACUCCGUUCACAUUGUGGAAUAUCACUUGACAAAAAUCCACACAACUGACUUGUGUGUGAGUUGUCAUACUGUUUCUUCAGCAUGGUAACAAUCAAGUGGACACAUUCUGUACUUCAGAAGAAACAAAGAAAUCUACUUGUGGAUUUUUAUUGGGAAUACGCUACUAUUUGUGAAUGGACUAAAUCUUGGAAUUACGUACAAUCCCACACCAGUAUGGAG